GAAAUUCCCCAACUACUCGACAUCAACCAUGUUCUCUUCCAGCAGCACCACCGCCACCACCGUCGAACCAUCAACUCCACCAUCACCACCACCGCCGCCGCUUUCUCCACGGCUGAUACCGUCCCUCCCAGACGACGUGGCUCUAAACAUCAUAGCUCGAGUCCCAAGACGCCACCACCCAACCCUUUCACUAGUCUCGAAAUCAAUGAAAUUCCUCAUCUCAUCGCCUCUCCUUUACGCCGCCCGUUCCCUCCUCAGAUCCGCCGAGCACUUCCUUUACAUCUCUCUCCGCCUCCACACGAGCCACUUCAUACGCUUCUACACACUAUACCAAAACCCCAAUAACACACUAAAUCCCAAAUACACCCUCGUUCCUCUCCCUCUUAUCCCUUCCCCUUCCUUAGUCGGCUCUGCCCUCGCCGCCCUCAACCAAAAAAUUUACGUCCUCGGAGGCUCCAUUAAGGAUAUCCCUUCUUCACAAGUGUGGUCCCUUGACUGCCGGACCCACACAUGGGAACCAGCUCCGAAUAUGCAAGUUUCCCGCGAGUUCGCCGCUGCCGGCGCUGUGGACGAUAAAAUUUAUGUCUUCGGCGGCUGCGUUGUUGAUAAUUGGGCUCGAUCGAUGAAUUGGGCUGAAGUUUAUGACCCCAAAUCGAGGAAAUGGAACUCUGUUCCAAGUCCGAUCGAAAUCCGGGAUAAAUGGAUGCAUGCGAGCGCUGUUAUUGAUGGGAAAGUUUACGCAAUGGCAGAUAGGAAUGGGGUCUGCUACGAAGUUAAAAGUGGGAAUUGGGCAACGGUGGAUAGUGAUUUGGAUAAUGGGUGGCGAGGGAGAGCCUGCGUUAUCGACGGGGUUUUGUUUUGCUAUGAUUACUUGGGGAGUAUAAGAGGAUACGAUGUGAAAGAAGGGACUUGGAAGGAAUUGAAAGGUUGGGAGAAAGGGUUGCCAAGGUUUCUUUGCGGUGCUACAAUGGCGAAUUUGGGAGGGAAGUUGAUGGUGGUCUGGGAAGCGAAGAACGGAGGUGGGAAAGAAAUGGAGAUUCGAUGCGCUGAGAUCGAGGUUAAGAAGGAUGAAGCAGGGGAGUUAUGGGGGGAAAUCGACUGGUCUGAUGUUGUUCUUUUGGUUCCUAGAGAAGCUUCCAUUGUUCAUUGCUUGGCAGUUGCUUUGUGAGAAUCAAUGGAAAGGCUUGGCUGUUUUUUUCCCUGUAUUUGGAAGGUUUGUUAAGAUUCAUAUUCCCAUACUCAUGUUGAGAUUGAAGAAAACUGAAAUGUAGGAGCAACACAGGAGGAAUGCUCCCUGCAAGAAGCAGCAAAGCUUCAGAUCGAGCCAUCCCACAAAUAUGAUCGUGUCGUUAAGCUUUUAAACAGCAUGGAAUGCCAUUACAAUCUUAUGGUGCGGACUUGGGAAAAGUGGUUCGCAUCUUCCUCUCCGGUUACUUUGGUAAUCAACUUAUUUAGAAUUCGGAAAUAACUGUUAUAAUCCAUGUAUUUGUCUGGCCAUUGAAAAUAAAGGAGAUUUCAAGUACACUCCUGGCCUAUGCGUGUGUCUGUUGCACUUUGUAACAAGUGAUUUCUUUGUCACCCUUUGUUCUUUCCCAAAUUAUGAUUUGCAGAUGUUGAAAUUUGAAGUUGUAAACGUUUGUUUAUAGUUGAAUUGAUGGAAGUUGGAAUUUCUUGUAACA